GCAACAAGCAGUGGAGCAUGUGGUUUAAUUCGAUGCAACGCGAAGAACCUUACCCAGGCUUGACAUGCAGAUGACCGCUCUAGAAAUAGAGUUUCCUUCGGGACAUUUGCACAGGUGCUGCAUGGCUGUCGUCAGCUCGUGCCGUGAGGUGUUGGGUUAAGUCCCGCAACGAGCGCAACCCUUAUCAUUAGUUGCCAACAGGUGAAGCUGGGAACUCUAAUGAGACUGCCUGGGUUAACCAGGAGGAAGGUGAGGAUGACGUCAAGUCCGCAUGGCCCUUAUGUCUGGGGCUACACACGUGCUACAAUGGUCGGUACAGAAGGCAGCGAAACCGCGAGGUGAAGCAAAUCCAACAAAGCCGAUCUCAGUUCAGAUUGUAGUCUGCAACUCGACUACAUGAAGACGGAAUUGCUAGUAAUGGCGAGUCAGCAACAUCGCCGUGAAUACGUUCCCGGGCCUU
rnacentral:rRNA from 1 species